AUAUUUAUAUAGUAUUAAACUAUAGCUAUUAAAUUUCUUUAUAUUCUAAAAUAAAGAAAUUCAUUUAUAGAAGAUAAUAUUUUUUAUUUUUGCAUUUAAAAAAUAGAAUUUAAAUUAUAUCUGGCGAAGCCUGUGCCAGCCGCCGCGGUUAUACAAGCAGAUAAAAAUAGUUUUCUUCAUUAGAGAAAAAGAUAGUUUUUUAAAUAAAAAAACUUUUUAAGGUGAAAUUUUUAAGUUUUUUGAGAUUUUUGUAUUUUUAAAAGUUUUUAAGAAAACUAGGAUUAGAUACCCUAUUAUUAAAAAUAAAGAUUGGUAGUAAAUAAGGAUUAUGAAAUCAAAAGAUUUUGGCGGUACUUUAAGCUUAUUAGAGGAAUUUGCUCUUUAAUUGAUAUAACACAAAGAUCUUACUUAAAUUAGUUAAGACAGUUUGUAUAUCGCUAUCGUAAAAUUAUAUUAAAUGAUAAUAAUUGAAAUAAGUUUUUUCUUUAAAUGUUAAGUCAAAAUGCAGUUAAUAUUUAAGUUUGAAGUGAAUUACGGAAAUUUAUAUUGGAUAAAGUGAAAUUUUAAAAAGGAUUUAAAAGUAAAUUGGAAUUAUAAUGUCUAAUUGAAGUAGGCUCUAGAGUAUGUACAUAUCGCCCGUCACUCUCAUUUUUUGAGAUAAGUCGUAACAAAGUAAGUGUACUGGAAGGUGUACU
rnacentral:ncRNA from 1 species